rfam:Ornithorhynchus anatinus chromosome 5, whole genome shotgun sequence.
GUCAUCUCGGGUCACACCUGGAGAGUUCCCAGUACUCUACCAGUCUCAACUAUGGGAGGGAAAGUCAAGCAGAGGCAUACCCAUUCCAUUCCUAGCUUGAGCAGUGGCUAGCGAGUGGAAGGCAAUCUGCUACAAGU